UGUAGUGAUACCAGGAAGCUGAAAUUUUGUAUUUUAUUGUCUCGCCAAUAGCCUUGGAUUAUUAUGAGCAUGAAUUCUAAUGAGGUAGCUGCACAGCGGCUCAGUGGUUAGCACCAUCAUCUUGCAGCUGGAAGAUCCCCGGUUCGCAUCCCCGCCAUCCUGGGAUCUUUCUACAAGGAGUUUAAACUACAAUCACGAACACAGCAAAACCUGCAUGGUGACCUACAGUAGCUUAGAUGUGCAGAUUUUAGAUUCAGGAGUCCUUUAGUCCAAAUGAAGAAAAACAAAUGCAUCAUUUUGUACUUUUAUCCCCUGAACUGUAAAUGUGAUUGUUGUUGCAUGUUGUAUAGGUACUUGGGGAUACUUGCACCAACCUGAGUGAACUUAGAGUUGUCAUGGCUUCAGUCCUUUUCAUGGCCCUUAAAUUGCAUGGAAAAGUAUAACCUGUCAGUCGCACGCAGUUCCAGUGUUGCAAGUAUAUAAUGUCAGCUGUAACAGAGGCAACAAGUAUCUCAGAUGUUAGAUUGUCAAAAUGAAACUUUUGAGAACACUCAUUGUGUUUUCGUUUAAGCUGCCAUGGAGAUUAAAAUGUAGCCUGCUGGUUACUUCUGAUCUGAUCCUAAAAUGUCAAAUUAAAAAGAGACGUGUACAAAAUGAUCCAAAUUUAUGAACAAUUAACAGUAUAUAAAUUACUUGUUUGCGUAUAGAUUCACUCGUUUAACGUCAAUUCCUUGGCUUCAAAGUUUAAAAAAUGAGAUUCCAAAUGAUUGUAACUCCAUCCCAGCAGAAGCAUAAUACCUGACUGAGUACUACUACAUGUCUGAAAUAAAGAUGCAACAAUUAAUCGAUUAGUGGCCAACUAUUGAGGUAAUUGCCAACUAUUUCUAUCAAUUACUCAGUUUGAGUAUCUUUUAAAGAAAAAUGUCAAAACUCUGUGGUUCCUGCUUCUCAAAUUUUAACAUUUUCAGGUUUCUUUGCUCCCCUGUGACUGUAAACAGAAUAUUUUUCAAGUUGUGGACAAAACAAAACAUUUGAUGACAUUGUUUUGGCCUUUAAGAAACAACUGACUGGCAUUUUUUCUUUUACCAUAUUCUGGCAUUUUAUAGACCAAACAGCUAAUUGAGAAAGUAACUGGCAGAUACAUUGUGACAUUGUGAAUUGAAGCCUUAGUCAAAAAAGGGCUAUACAGUAAUAAACUACACAGUUAUCACACCAUUCAGUAUACCCGUUUGAAAUGUUAAAAUUGUUCCUGUGUCUACGAGUGAAUUACAGCGGCUUUGCAUUGUAUAACAGCAUUCAUUUCAUGAUCUACCAUCAUUUAAUGAGGUGUGAUAAGAUGCCUGCAGCAUGUCGGUGUUCAGCUCUGAGUACAAGCAGCUAGUGAUUGGACUGCUGCCGUUACCCUCAGACCUGAUUUUCCUCACCUCAGUUACCUUAUUCCUUCAUAUGACCCUUCUUCCUUGUUGUUGUUCACCUCCUCCAGGGGAUCUACAGGUUUUGCUCAAUUAUUUUGUUUUGAUAAGGUGUUACAAGACCUUCAGAUAUCUUUCUCUCAGUCGAUUCAGUGCACUCAGCUGCCCCCAGUCUUUCUAAUGCAAUUUAACUUGUUUUCGUUUCAACAAUGAAGCCUUAUUAGUCGGCACAGUGUGUGAAUACAAUUAAGCAUCCUACGGGAGGAAUAAAGUAGCUGAAGUCAAUGUAACACACAUCUUUAGCUACAGAUAUAUUUGCAAGUUUAUGGGUGAAGACCUGAAGACUGAACUACGAAGCAAGAUUAUUGUGGUAGCAGGUAUGUUAAGCGUAAUGUUUCUCGGGGUUAAGAAGGUGGCUCUCUUCUAACCUGCUAGAUAACCAUGGCAACUGAUGUUGUGGAGCUAAUUAUUUAAGCAAAUUAUUUCCUGAUGAUUCUUUAUGAGCAAUGCAGAUUCUCAGUUGAAGGAAUAUGUUCUAUUUGUAAACUUGUAUGUUACUGAUCGCACUGAAUGAAGCCGUGGAGUUACAGUAUCACACACUGUAUGCAGUGUGUUGCCAUGGCAAACAACACAACAUCUAUUCAGCUGGUGAUGCAAAAAUCACAUAAAUUCGUUUUUAUGUUUAGUCUUGAUUUGCUGUGAAGUCUGUUACACUGCUGGUACUGCAGCUGAUAGAACACACAUUAGAAAGUAUAUUAGUUCAUUAAUAUUUAUUACAGAGAAUAUUAAAUCAUUAACAUUAAUUUCACUUUGAUUUGACCAGAAAUUUAAGGAAUAUCCUGCAUCAUGGGACAUGAUGCAGAUUGUCAUGUGAAUGUGAUCAGAGUUAGAAACAGAAAGUCUGAUUUAACAGAGGAAGUUGAUAACCACCUUCAUGAUACCUGUUGCCUCUGACUGGGGUUUUAGUUUUGUUGAGUCGACGUACAAAAAGAAAGCCUGACUAUGUCAAACCUGCUUUGCAGUUCAGCCCUCAGGCAUCUCAGUCACAACAACAAAGCAAUAUACCAAUAUUUCCCCCCCAAAAUUACAGAAAGACAUCUGAUAACUUUAACCAACACAGCAACACAUUUCCUCGAACAGUCGAUGCAAGUGUAAAAAAAAUAACUUCAGGUUUUCGUUUUUAUUUCAUCAACACCCUUUGGCACAGCAACUUCAUGGAUGUGAUUGGUGGUGACAGCACACACCUCUUGUCAUUUCACUAAAAGCAAACAUUCAGUUCAGAGCUCAGGUGUAGUCUGUGCAGGCAGGUAUAUGGUUAGACAGGCAGGUAGGCAAGUCAUCUCUUGCAGUGGUUGUUUUUUUGCAUGAAACUGCUACAGACAGGAGAUACUUUUUUUAGUGUUUACUACCACCGUUGGUUUAUUGAUUGUUGUCAAGAUGUAAAAAGAUUUUCCCCCUCCACUGUGGAGGUUCUGGAGAAAUAAGGAGUUAUAAUUUUUCAAAAAAUUAGAUUUUAUAAGACAAAUGGACGGUUUACAUAAAGGAUCUCAGUCUGGAAUAAUUUGCCACAUGACGGAAUCAGCCAGCAUUCAGUCAAACAUCAUCCCAGCGGAUGUGGACGGUACUAGCACCUGUGAAAAGAAACUGAAUUUAAAUUACCUUCAAAAAAUAAUAUAGUAUAAAGACACUGUAUCUGGAAAGUGAGGUGAAGUGAAGUCACAUAUGACUCCUCUGAAGGAUUCUCAAGCUUUUUGGACAUCGGACUGGACACUAUUUUUGACAGAAACUAAACGCCGCACAUCAUCACAACACACAAUCUCCACCGUGAAGCAUGGUGGCGGCAGCAUCAUGAUGUGGGGAUGCUUCACUGGGAGGCUUGUAAAGGUGGAGGGUAAAAUGAAAGCAGCAACUUACAGGGAAAUCCUAGAGAACAACCUGAUGCAGUCAGCGUUGGAACUGCAACUUGGGAGAAGAUUUGUGUUCCAGAAAGACAAUAAACUCAAGCAAACAGCCAAAACUACACAGAAAUGGCUUAAAGACAAGGUGAAUGUUCUGGAGUGGCCGAGUCAGAGCCCGGGCCUCAAUCUAGAUAAGAUAAGAUAAGAUAAAGUUCUUUAUUUCUCCCCACUCCAGGGGAAAUUUACAUUGUUACAGCAGCUUUAUUUACAAUAUAUACAAGGGUGGCAAAAUUUUUUAACAGAAAAAAUAAAAAUAAAAAUAAAGUUUAAAAGUGCAGAGAUGUGCAGUGCAAGAAUGUCAGUGCAAAUUUUAUGGUUUGGGGUGGUAAUGAUAUAGUCCAGUUUAUGUUAACAUCAGCCAGUGAUGCUGAUGUUGUAAAGUCUUAUAGCAGAUGGGAUGAAGGACCUGCGAUAGCGCUCUUUCUUGCAGGGUAAGAAUUUGUGGAAGGAUUUAAAAACAGCUGCUCAAUUUCAGUUGUAACUUAAGAGAACUUGAGCAGUUUUCAAAUAGCUGUUUGCUCGUGACCUCAGUGUAACCCGACAGAGCUUCAGCAGCUUUGCACAGAAGAAUGGAGUAAAAUUGCAGUGUCCAGAUGUGCAAGAUUGAUUUCAACCUAUUGAGUAGAUGCACCACAAGGUGUAUCAACUAAAUACUGACAAGGAAGGAGUGAAUACCUGUGCAAUCACUUACUUUACAUUUUUAAUUGUAAAUAAUUGACUUUGUACAAAUUUGUUUUCACUUAGACACGAAAGAGUCUUUUUCUGUAAAUUCUUGUAAAUAAAUUAAUAAUUACGUUGACCAUGAUUUAAUACUGAAAAGCAAUAAAAGGGUUAAACUUCCAA